GUGCAGACACGGAGUUUGCAUUUAACAGUGAAAACACCGACAGACCUAACGUUAACGUAUAAAACAGAAGAACAACUCCACAAACUGCGGACCAAAUGCACGUGGAAUUUUCACUGUAUUUCCUUAUUUGGAGGACCAAUCUUCUUAGAAUGGGAGCAUUUCUAUGAUGCACCAAGUGACUAAGGGUACCAGGCUUGGUGUUUAAAGACGGUACAGACUAGAACCUGGUCAUGGAAAGAUAACAGAUAAGUUAACAUAUGAGAGAAUCAUGGGCACAAAGAAAAAAAUAAUCAUAGCUUGGUUGCUAUUUGGUAUAGCUAGAUUUUCUUUGUUCCAUAACACUCAUUUUG